UCUUCAGUUCUAUCUGAAUAAGUAAACAAUCAAUAUUCCCAAAUCUUUCAUCGAGUGAGCAAGAAGCAAAAAGGCAGAGGAUUUCAGACCUUCUGGAUGCCAAAAUUGAGGUGGCAGAGAUUAUGGACAAUGUAAAGUGUUCAAGGAGCCUCAUUUUCAAGGUAGCCAAGAAUAAAAAGGAUGGAAAAGACCUCUCAAGGAAAGAAGGAAGUGGGGGACACAACUUGAAAAGGGAUUCUGAGUUUCUGGGGACCUGAAGAAGAAGAUCAAGGAGGACGGAAAGAGCAUGGAAGUAAUGAACAUAUACCCUCAUUGAUUUAUUAAUACUUACUUGUCAUGGAUUCCGAAAGUCCAUGGAUAUAUUCACUUCUUUCAAAUAAAAGUAAUGAGACAUUA
rnacentral:lncRNA from 1 species